rnacentral:lncRNA from 1 species
UGUUUAUUAUUUACAUCAUUUACUAUUUACAAUAUUAUGUAAAUAGAUUUUAUCAUACAUAUUAAAUUUUACUAUUUACUAUUAUAUUAUCAUAUAUUUACUAUCAACUUUUCGUACAUUUAUUAUAAACAUUAUCAUACAUUUACUGUCAACAUUGUUAUACAUUUAUUUUAUUAAUUUAAAUGUUUAAGAAAUAAAAGAAUUGUAUUAUAAUAGAGUUAGCUUAAUAGCUUGGAAAAAUAAAUAAAAAAAAAUG